rnacentral:rRNA from 1 species
AGUGAACGCUGGCGGUAGGCCUAACACAUGCAAGUCGAACGGCAGCACAGUAAGAGCUUGCUCUUACGGGUGGCGAGUGGCGGACGGGUGAGGAAUACAUCGGAAUCUACUUUUUCGUGGGGGAUAACGUAGGGAAACUUACGCUAAUACCGCAUACGACCUACGGGUGAAAGCAGGGGAUCUUCGGACCUUGCGCGAUUGAAUGAGCCGAUGUCGGAUUAGCUAGUUGGCGGGGUAAAGGCCCACCAAGGCGACGAUCCGUAGCUGGUCUGAGAGGAUGAGCAGCCACACUAGAACUGAGACACGGUCCAGACUCCUACGGGAGGCAGCAGUGGGGAAUAUUGGACAAUGGGCGCAAGCCUGAUCCAGCCAUACCGCGUGGGUGAAGAAGGCCUUCGGGUUGUAAAGCCCUUUUGUUGGGAAAGAAAAGCAGCAGGUUAAUACCCCGCUGUUCUGACGGUACCCAAAGAAUAAGCACCGGCUAACUUCGUG